rnacentral:rRNA from 1 species
GACGAACGCUGGCGGCGUGCCUAAUACAUGCAAGUAGGACGCAGUUGCGAACGGGUGAGUAACGCGUAGGUAACUACCUAUUAGAGGGGGAUAACUAUUGGAAACGAUAGCUAAUACCGCAUACUAGUAGAUGGACCUGCGUUGUAUUAGCUAGUAGGUAGGGUAAUGGCCUAACUAGGCAACGAUACAUAGCCGACCUGAUGGGGUGACCGGCCACACUGGGAGUGACACUCGGCCCAUACUCCUACGGGAGGCAGCAGGAGGGAAUCUUCGGCAAGGGGGGGAACCCUGACCGAGCAACGCGGCGUGAGGUAAGAAGGUUUUCGGAUCGUAAAGCUCUGUUGUUAAGGAAGCGGUACUUAACCAGAAAGCGACGGCUAACUACGUGCCAGCAGCCGCGGUAAUUC